rnacentral:misc_RNA from 1 species
GAAACGCGAUAGGUAAUGUGAAUUGCAGAAUUCCGUGAAUCAUCGAAUCUUUGAACGCACAUUGCGCCUUCUGGUAUUCCGGUAGGCAUGCCUGUUUGAGCGUCAGCAAAACACCCUCAGCCUGAGUAUUUUUGUAUUCAACGCUGGUCUUGGGCAGUGGGAUGCCGGUGGGUUAUUUUUUCCCACCUGCACCCUCCCUAAACUUGCUGCACGACCGCAAGCCCCUUCUAGCCAGGUCAAUGGAGUGGUGUUACAAUCUUCCAAAAAGCCUGCUGGUAAACUGCUUCGUGGCGUUAAACAAUAAUGUCUCCUUUGGUGGAGACUGAAAUUUUGACCUCAGAUCAGACAAGGAUACCCGCUGAACUUAA